rnacentral:rRNA from 1 species
ACGUGACUAACCUACCCUGGAGUGGGGGAUAACUGAGGGAAACCUUAGCUAAUACCGCAUAACACCUACGGGUCAAAGGAGCAAUUCGCUUCAGGAGGGGGUCGCGGCAGAUUAGCUAGUUGGCGGGGUAAUGGCCCACCAAGGCAGUGAUCUGUAUCCGGCCUGAGAGGGCGCACGGACACACUGGAACUGAAACACGGUCCAGACUCCUACGGGAGGCAGCAGUGGGGAAUUUUGCGCAAUGGGGGAAACCCUGACGCAGCAACGCCGCGUGGAGGAUGAAGUCCUUCGGGACGUAAA